UACGUAGGGUGCGAGCGUUAAUCGGAAUUACUGGGCGUAAAGCGUGCGCAGGCGGUUUUGUAAGCCAGAUGUGAAAUCCCCGGGCUUAACCUGGGAAUGGCAUUUGGGACUGCAAGGCUUGAGUGCGGCAGAGGAGACUGGAAUUCCUGGUGUAGCGGUGAAAUGCGCAGAUAUCAGGAGGAACACCGGUGGCGAAGGCGGGUCUCUGGGCCGAUACUGACGCUGAGAAGCGAAAGCGUGGGGAGCGAACAGG
rnacentral:rRNA from 1 species